AGAGUUUGAUCCUGGCUCAGAACGAACACUGGCGGCGUGGAUUAGGCAUGCAAGUCGAACGAGAAAGUUCCCUUCGGGGAGCGAGUAAAGUGGCGAACGGGUGAGUAACGCGUGGGAAACCUGCCCUUUAAUGGGGGAUAACAGUUCUAACGAGCUGCUAAUACCGCAUACGACCCUAGGAUCGCAUGGUCCCUGGGUGAAAGGUGGCCUCUCUUUGAAGCUGCCGUUGAAGGAUGGUCCCGCGUCCCAUUAGCUAGUUGGUAGGGUAACGGCCUACCAAGGCGACGAUGGGUAGCCGGCCUGAGAGGGUGUCCGGCCACACUGGGACUGAGAUACGGCCCAGACUCCUACGGGAGGCAGCAGUCGAGAAGCUUCCGCAAUGGGCGAAAGCCUGACGGAGCGACGCCGCGUGAGUAAAGAAGGCCCUAUGGGUUGUAAAACUCUGUCAGAUUGGGAAGAAAACUUCGUGGAUAAUACCCACGAGGCUUGACGGUACCAUCAGAGGAAGCACCGGCUAACUCCGUGCCAGCAGCCGCGGUAAUACGGAGGGUGCAAGCGUUGUUCGGAUUCACUGGGUAUAAAGGGUGCGCAGGCGGCCUGAUAAGUCAGCGGUGAAAUAUGUCGGCUCAACCGACAAACUGCCCCUGAAACUGACAGGCUUGAGUUCGGGAGAGGAAGGUGGAAUUCCAGGUGUAGCGGUGAAAUGCGUAAAUAUCUGGAGGAACACCGGUGGCGAAGGCGGCCUUCUGGCCCGACACUGACGCUCAGGCACGAAAGCAUGGGGAGCGAACGGGAUUAGAUACCCCGGUAGUCCAUGCCGUAAACGAUGGGUACUAGGUGUUGGAGGAUUCUACCCCUCCAGUGCCGCAGCUAACGCAUUAAGUACCCCACCUGGGGAGUACGAUCGCAAGGUUGAAACUCAAAGGAAUUGACGGGGGCCCGCACAAGCGGUGGAGCAUGUGGUUUAAUUCGAUGCAACGCGAGGAACCUUACCUGGGCUUGACAUGCAGGGGACAGGUGUAGAAAUACAUCCUUCUUCGGAUCCCUGUACAGGUGCUGCAUGGCUGUCGUCAGCUCGUGUCGUGAAAUGUUGGGUUAAGUCCCGCAACGAGCGCAACCCCUGUCUUUAGUUGCCAUCAGGUUAUGCUGGGGACUCUAGAGAGACUGCCGGUGAUAAACCGGAGGAAGGUGGGGACGACGUCAAGUCAUCAUGGCCCUUACGCCCAGGGCUACACACGUGCUACAAUGGUCGGUACAGAGGGCUGCAAUGCUGUGAAGUGGAGCGAAUCCCACAAAGCCGGCCUCAGUUCGGAUCGAAGUCUGCAACUCGACUUCGUGAAGUUGGAAUCGCUAGUAAUCGCGUAUCAGAACGACGCGGUGAAUACGUUCCCGGGCCUUGUACACACCGCCCGUCAAGUCAACC
rnacentral:rRNA from 1 species